rnacentral:rRNA from 1 species
CCUACGGGUGGCAGCAGUGAGGAAUAUUGGUCAAUGGACGCAAGUCUGAACCAGCCAUGCCGCGUGCAGGAAGACGGCUCUAUGAGUUGUAAACUCCUUUUGUACGGGGGUAAACGCAGAUACGCGUAUCUGUCUGAAAGUCUCGUACGAAUAAGGAUCGGCUAACUCCGUGCCAGCAGCCGCGGUAAUCCGGAGGAGUCAAGCUUUAUCCGGAUUGAUUGGGUUUAAAGUGUGCGUAGGCGGUCGGCUAAGUUAGAGGUGAAAUCCCGAGGCUCAACUUCGGAAUUGCCUCUGAUACUGUUUGGCUAGAGAGUAGUUGCGGUAGGCGGAAUGUAUGGUGUAGCGGUGAAAUGCUUAGAGAUCAGACAGAACACCGAUUGCGAAGGCAGCUUACCAAGCUACUUCUGACGUUGAGGCACGAAAGCGUGGGGAGCAAACAGGAUUAGAUACCCCUGUAGUC